AUUUUCAUUGCAAGGAUAUUACCAAAUUCAUUUUGACAUUUCUAAACGCAUGUAUACUACGUUGGGUAUCGGGUUGUGGUAGUAUGGUUCUGUAGUUUUGAAUCCAAAAGAUUUGUAAAGCCUCACAGCUGGUAAAAGUGUGUCAAGAGUAUCCAAAACCAUACUAGAAUACCCCAAUUUUUCGGAAUACUGUAUAAUCUCUUUCACCAACAAGACUCCUAAUUUCAGACCUCGACUCUCUGGCCUAACAUACAAGCGUUUCAUUUCACAACAGCCAGGACCGCCAAAUGGGUGGACAGCUACACACCCUAGAGCUGUUCCAUGCUCGUCCCUUGCAACUAGCAUAAUUCCAUGAGGUGGUCCAUACUUUCUCAUAGGAUUCGCCAGUUCAUCAUCAACGUUUUGAAAUGUAAGAUCCAUCCCAAAUUCUUGGAGAUAUUCUUGGACCAACAUUUUGAAGUCAUCGAGAUCUUGAGGUAGCUUCACAGCUGAGAUCGAGAUGUUGCUUGGCUUCAUCAUAGUAUGAUGGAAGAUUAUAUUUUCACUGCAAUAAUUAACAAAAGUCGACCCCCGAAUAGAAAAGAAAGAUUACUUGGUAAACAAAAACUACUCUACUAGAAUUUUGAACGUUUUAAUAACGCCAUAAGAAUGUACUUUCGAAUUUUUAAUUAUAUAAUCAAUGUCAGAUUCUGCGGUACUAUUAGGAGUGCGCCGAAAUUUAGAAAGAUUUUAAUAUGAUAGUGAAGCAGGCCAAGCCGCAAAAGCAGAAGAAAAAUCUUGCUCCGACAAUAUCCGUGCUUUCUAGAAUUACUAAGUGUAUACGAUUAUAAAAAAAAAGAUGAGAUUUGUUACUGAUAAGCAGAA